rnacentral:rRNA from 1 species
AUGUUGUGCUACAUACUGACUGCGCUUCUUUUCUUUUACAUAGUUGCUGUUGAUUCUGCAUUUGAGGAUAAUGAUGAUGCUGAAUACUUUCGUGUUUCUGUUUCAAGUAUGUUGAAAUUUUUAAUAAAUAUUUCCUAUUCAGAGCACCCUCCACUUCGUGGCUCCUUCAUUUAUACUAAUGAAGUACUUCUUGGUGCACAAUGUGAUGAGCAAUUGGCCUUGUAUGCUCUGAUUGCACGCGUAGCUGCUGACACCACCAUACCCUUGAGCAAUUGUUUUGUGAGUGAUUUGCAUGGCUAA